AUUGAACGCUGGCGGCAUGCCUUACACAUGCAAGUCGAACGGCAGCAUGGAGAGCUUGCUCUCUGAUGGCGAGUGGCGAACGGGCGAGUAAUGCAUCGGAACGUACCGUGUAAUGGGGGAUAACGUAGCGAAAGUUACGCUAAUACCGCAUACGACCUGAGGGUGAAAGCAGGGGAUCGCAAGACCUUGCGUUAUACGAGCGGCCGAUGUCAGAUUAGCUAGUUGGUGAGGUAAAGGCUCACCAAGGCGACGAUCUGUAGCGGGUCUGAGAGGAUGAUCCGCCACACUGGAACUGAGACACGGUCCAGACUCCUACGGGAGGCAGCAGUGGGGAAUUUUGGACAAUGGGGGCAACCCUGAUCCAGCCAUGCCGCGUGAGUGAAGAAGGCCUUCGGGUUGUAAAGCUCUUUCGUCCGGGAAGAAAUCGCAUCAGCUAAUACCUGGUGUGGAUGACGGUACCGGAAUAAGAAGCACCGGCUAACUACGUGCCAGCCGCCGCCGUAA
rnacentral:rRNA from 1 species